UACGAAGGGGGCUAGCGUUGCUCGGAAUUACUGGGCGUAAAGCGCACGUAGGCGGAUUGUUAAGUCGGGGGUGAAAUCCUGGAGCUCAACUCCAGAACUGCCUUCGAUACUGGCGAUCUCGAGUUCGGGAGAGGUGAGUGGAACUGCGAGUGUAGAGGUGAAAUUCGUAGAUAUUCGCAAGAACACCAGUGGCGAAGGCGGCUCACUGGACUGGUAUUGACGCUGAGGUGCGAAAGUGUGGGUAGCAAACAGG
rnacentral:rRNA from 1 species